UCUUCCGCAAUGGACGCAAGUCUGACGGAGCAACGCCGCGUGAACGAUGAAGGCCUUCGGGUCGUAAAGUUCUGUUGUUAGGGAAGAACACCUAUAGUGCGAAUAGUGCUAUAGACUGACGGUACCUGAUGAGGAAGCCACGGCUAACUCCGUGCCAGCAGCCGCGGUAAUACGUAGGUGGCAAGCGUUGUCCGGAAUUAUUGGGCGUAAAGCGCGCGCAGGCGGCUAAUAAAGUCUGAUGUGAAAUCUCGUGGCUUAACCACGAGCGGCCAUUGGAAACUGGUUAGCUUGAGUGCAGAAGAGGAGAGUGGAAUUCCAUGUGUAGCGGUGAAAUGCGUAGAUAUAUGGAGGAACACCAGUGGCGAAGGCGACUCUCUGGUCUGUAACUGACGCUGAGGCGCGAAAGCGUGGGUAGCAAACA
rnacentral:rRNA from 1 species